UAUAUAUUCAAAAUAAUCACUGGAAAUAUAAGAAAAAGAUGCUGAAUGAACAUAAUUUCAUCAUUCCAAUAAAAGAGAAAUAACCGUAUAUAUCCCAUAAUAACGACAUUUUCUGAAAUAGGAAAAGUAGUGACUUUUGUCCAGAUCAGAACCUAUCUAAUGCGGAAAUAUCUAAUAUGAUUGAAUGAUUACAAAUUGUCUCCAAAUUGAACAGGAAACGAAAUGUACUAGGAAGAAAUGAAGAGAGUGACUUUCAUGUUGAGAUGUUGGGAGAAACCUUGAAACUAUGAAUCAUUUAUCAAAAUAGAGUGUUAUAGGCUAAAUGAUUGAAAAAUAAUCGGAAUAUAUUGGUUCCUAUAAUCCUAUUGAAUUCUUAGAAACCUAGAUGAAUCG